rnacentral:rRNA from 1 species
GGCGAGUGGCGAACGGGUGAGUAAUACAUCGGAACGUGUCCUGGAGUGGGGGAUAGCCCGGCGAAAGCCGGAUUAAUACCGCAUACGAUCUCUGGAUGAAAGCGGGGGACCGAAAGGCCUCGCGCUCAAGGGGCGGCCGAUGGCAGAUUAGCUAGUUGGUGGGGUAAAGGCCUACCAAGGCGACGAUCUGUAGCUGGUCUGAGAGGACGACCAGCCACACUGGGACUGAGACACGGCCCAGACUCCUACGGGAGGCAGCAGUGGGGAAUUUUGGACAAUGGGGGCAACCCUGAUCCAGCAAUGCCGCGUGUGUGAAGAAGGCCUUCGGGUUGUAAAGCACUUUUGUCCGGAAAGAAAACCGCUUCUCUAAUACAGAGGUGGGAUGACGGUACCGGAAGAAUAAGCACCGGCUAACUACGUGCCAGCAGCCGCGGUAAUACGUAGGGUGCGAGCGUUAAUCGGAAUUACUGGGCGUAAAGCGUGCGCAGGCGGUUCGCUAAGACCGAUGUGAAAUCCCCGGGCUUAACCUGGGAACUGCAUUGGUGACUGGCGGGCUANAGUAUGGCAGAGGGGGGUAGAAUCCACGUGUAGCAGUGAAAUGCGUAGAGAUGUGGAGGAAUACCGAUGGCGA